UACAGAGGGUGCAAGCGUUGUUCGGAAUUAUUGGGCGUAAAGCGCGUGUAGGCGGCUUAGUAAGUCGGGUGUGAAACCUCCAGGCUCAACCUGGAGACGCCACCCGAUACUGCUGUGGCUAGAGUCCGGUAGGGGAGCGUGGAAUUCCUGGUGUAGCGGUGAAAUGCGCAGAUAUCAGGAGGAACACCAGCGGCGAAGGCGGCGCUCUGGGCCGGUGCUGACGCUGAGGAGCGAAAGCGUGGGGAGCGAACAGG
rnacentral:rRNA from 1 species